rnacentral:SRP_RNA from 2 species
GCUGGGUGUGGUAGUGCACGCCUGUAAUCCCAGCUACUUGGGAGGCUGAGGCAGGAGAAUCACUUGAACCUGGGAGGCGGAGGUUGCAGUGAGCCGAGAUUGCGCCACUGCACUCCGGCCUGGGCAAUAGAGUGAGACUCCGUCUCAA